CCUACGGGUGGCAGCAGUGGGGGAUAUUGCACAAUGGGGGGAACCCUGAUGCAGCGACGCCGCGUGGGUGAAGGAGCGUUUCGGCGCGUAAAGCUCUAUCGGCAGGGAAGAAGAUGACGGUACCUGACUAAGCAGCCCCGGCUAACUACGUGCCAGCAGCCGCGGUAAUACGUAGGGGGCACGCGUUAUCCGGAUUUACGGUGUGUAAAGUGGUCGCAGAUGGCAAUACAUGCCAGGAGUGAAAGCCCGGGGCCCAACCCCGGGGCGGCAUUGGAAACUGGAUGGCUGGAGUACAGAAGGGGCGGGCGGAAUUCCGAGUGUAGCGGUGAAAUGCGUAGAUAGUAGGAGGAACACCAGUGGCGAAGGCGGCCUGCUGGACUGUAACUGACGUUGAGGCCCGAAGGCGUGGGGAGCAAACAGGAUUAGAUACCCCAGUAGUC
rnacentral:rRNA from 1 species